GGGGAAUAUUGCACAAUGGGGGAAACCCUGAUGCAGCAACGCCGCGUGAGGGAUGACGGCCUUCGGGUUGUAAACCUCUUUUGGCAGGGAAGAAGCGAGAGUGACGGUACCUGCAGAAAAAGCGCCGGCUAACUACGUGCCAGCAGCCGCGGUAAUACGUAGGGCGCGAGCGUUGUCCGGAAUCAUUGGGCGUAAAGAGCUCGUAGGCGGUUUGUCGCGUCUGCUGUGAAAGCCUGGGGCUCAACUCCGGGAUUGCAGUGGGUACGGGCAGACUAGAGUGCGGUAGGGGAGACUGGAAUUCCUGGUGUAGCGGUGGAAUGCGCAGAUAUCAGGAAGAACACCGAUGGCGAAGGCAGGUCUCUGGGCCGUUACUGACGCUGAGGAGCGAAAGCAUGGGGAGCGAAC
rnacentral:rRNA from 1 species